rnacentral:misc_RNA from 1 species
AUGCUUUUCAUCGCCAUCGCUGUUUUCAGUGUGUCUGCAACGUCACCUCCCAACUGUGCCGCCGUGACAUGUGACCCCGCAACGUGCCAAGUCUUUCGAUGCAGAUGCGGUAGCUACAAGGACUACUGUGGCUGCUGCGACAUCUGUCACACGUGUCCCGGCGAAGAGUGUACCAUCCUGUUCAGAGAUUCCUGUACCGAUGGCUACAACUGUACCCUGGACAAUCCCGAGCGAUCAUUCCUUACCGGUGGCAGCGGACACUGCAGGAGUCCCAACGAAACAAUCGAAGGACACGAC